rnacentral:tRNA from 1 species
CACCCGGUGACUGAAAGCAAGUGCAGGUCUUUUAAACCUGUUAUAGUAUUACGCCUACUUCUGGUGG